UUCUAAGAACCUUGAUUCUUUUUUACUGUAUGUCCUGGUUUUGGAUGAGUCUUGAAUUUUUAAAGUCUGUCCAAAGCUUAAGUUAGUUUAAAGAUUAUUCCGGCUGUUAAAAAAAAAUAAUGACUCAUUCUGUUUUUUUUUCCUUUAUUUGACGGAGAGACUUCUGAUCACCUAAGAGAUAUAAUUGAAUGGUUUUCAUCUCCCCAUAUAAUCUCAUUGCAAAUUUCAUUACUUUCAAAUGCCAUGAUGCAACUAUGUGACCAUCCAACUCUCCUUUCCCCUAUGACUAGGGCUGGGCAUAAUAUGGUUAAAACCGAAAAAACCGACCGAACCGAUUUUUUUUUAAUUUCGGUUUCGGUUUUUCGGUUAUUUCGGUCGGUUUCGGUUUCAAUUUUGAAUAUUUUGGUUUUUCGGUUCGGUUUUCGGUUUUUGGCUAAAACAAUUCGGUUAACCGAAAAACCGAAAUUAUACAUAUAUUCUUUACACCUCUUAAUUAAAUUACUUCAGUAGCCCAUGCCCAGCCGGCCCAUUUUCAAAAUUAGGCCCAAAUUCCAAUAGAAAUCCCUAAACUGAUAACCUGAAAUCCCUAACACAAUACAAAUCACAGUAAGCUCUCAUCUCUCAACUCUCGUCACUCGUCAGUCGUCUCUCAGUUACGACUUACACCGCUGCUCGUCUCUCAACUCUCGUCUCUCGUCUCUCGUCUCUCGUCUCUCGUCUCUCGUCUCUCGUCUCUCGUCUCUCGUCUCUCGUCUCUCGUCUCUCGUCUCUCGUCUCUCGUCUCUCGUCUCUCGUCUCUCGUCUCUCGUCUCUCGUCUCUCGUCUCUCGUCUCUCGUCUCUCGUCUCUCGUCUCUCGUCUCUCGUCUCUCGUCUCUCGUCUCUCGUCUCUCGUCUCUCGUCUCUCGUCUCUCGUCUCUCGUCUCUCGUCUCUCGUCUCUCGUCUCUCGUCUCUCGUCUCUCGUCUCUCGUCUCUCGUCUCUCGUCUCUCGUCUCUCGUCUCUCGUCUCUCGUCUCUCGUCUCUCGUCUCUCGUCUCUCGUCUCUCGUCUCUCGUCUCUCGUCUCUCGUCUCUCGUCUCUCGUCUCUCGUCUCUCGUCUCUCGUCUCUCGUCUCUCGUCUCUCGUCUCUCGUCUCUCGUCUCUCGUCUCUCGUCUCUCGUCUCUCGUCUCUCGUCUCUCGUCUCUCGUCUCUCGUCUCUCGUCUCUCGUCUCUCGUCUCUCGUCUCUCGUCUCUCGUCUCUCGUCUCUCGUCUCAUGCCCAGCCGGCCCAUUUUCUCUCUCGUCUCUCGUCUCUCGUCUCUCGUCUCUCGUCUCUCGUCUCUCGUCUCUCGUCUCUCGUCUCUCGUCUCUCGUCUCUCGUCUCUCGUCUCUCGUCUCUCGUCUCUCGUCUCUCGUCUCUCGUCUCUCGUCUCUCGUCUCUCGUCUCUCGUCUCUCGUCUCUCGUCUCUCGUCUCUCGUCUCUCGUCUCUCGUCUCUCGUCUCUCGUCUCUCGUCUCUCGUCCGUCAUCUCUAAAGUCUUAGGCCAGCCGCUACUCCUUGGCUCCUCGCUGAGUGCUCGCAGGUCGCAGCCCGCCACUGCUCAGUGCUCGCGACUCGAAGGUUAAUGCUUCUAUAUAGAGAAUAUCAACUAGGUGAGUUUGGAGAGCAAAAGCAAAAUUGUAUGGCAUAGAUUGUUGGAGUUUCGAGAGUAUUGUUAAGUGUUGAUUGUUAUUUGUUAUAGAAGUUGAUGUUGAUUGUUGUAUUAUUUGAACAGCAACACAGCCACAACCACAACCCACAGGUCACUGUUAAUUGGUAAGUUGCAAGUUAAAUGUUGUUGAAAUUUGAAGGCAAAAGACAAACUGUAUGGCAUAGAUUGUUGGAGUUUGGAGAGUUGUUGAGUGUUGAUUGUUAUAGAAGUUUGUUGAUUGUUGUAUUAUUUGAACCGCAACCUGCAACACAGCCACAACCCACAUGACACUAUUAAUUAAAUUUGGUUAAACCGAAAACCAAACCGAAAUAAACCAAACCGAAAUUGUAAUAACCGAACCGAACUGAAUUUAUUUCAGUUUGGUUUGGUUUCAUAUUUUUGCCAACUGAAAACCGAAAAACCAAACCGAAAUUUACAAACCGAACCGAACCGACCGAACGCCCAGCCCUACCUAUGACUGCAAAAGUCUGGCGUGCCAUGGUAGAUCAACUUUCUGUCCGUGGAAAUUCCGUUUCUGGACUGGUUAAUUUUUUUUGAUAAAUUAGACGAGUAAAAAAUGACCACAUUUGCUAGAAGGUGCAAGGAGCACACAUUGAGGAUAAAAUAGGAGAAAGUCACUUGAGAUGGUUUAGUCCUAUCCUCUGUCUACCUACAUAUGCACCGGUCUAUAGGUGUGAGAUUGUGGUGAGUGAAGGUGUUAAAAUGGAAUGAGGUAGACCUAAUCACGGGAUUUGUGUUGAAUGACCUACAAUUUCUUGGAAUCAGUGUAAACUUUGGCUGAAGAUAAGCA
rnacentral:lncRNA from 1 species